rnacentral:lncRNA from 1 species
AUGGAGGCCGAAGGACAGGAAGUGUCCACAAAAGUGGAGAACACACCUGGCAAAUUUCCAGGCAGACCUAAAGUAGCUGCAGAAUUGAGAUUUCUUGACCUGCAAGAUGGCUGGUUGACCCCACAGAGUCCUCUCAGCUCCAAAUCUGUGCUCAGCUUCAUGCCCUCAGGCAUGGGCCACACCUACACAGGGCGUGGAAGGGAGAGUCAGAGUUCUUCUCCACGUGCCCCAGCAGCAGAGCUCUACAGACCAGGGCUGGCUGAGACAGGAGCCUUGGCUGAUUGAAGCAGAUCCUGGUCAAGGAUGGACCAUUUCUGCUGCGGCUAGGGAAGCUCACAUAGAAACCAUGCUGCUCCUGAUUUCAGAUGCCUCAAAGUGAGCUGAGAGUGAGUUUGGGUGCAUUAAAGCACUACUAGAACAUUCUGAAUCCAUGGGAUUCAUAUGAAAAUAAAACAUCAUCCAGCAUACAAGCUGCUUUCUG